GCGAAAAGACAGUACAACAACAAGCCAACACAGCCUAACAAUCCGGUAUCAUAAGUCUAGAACCUCUAAAUACAACCAGUCUGAGUGACUAAUACAUAAUAAGACCUAAAAUGUAGAAAACCAAAGAUAGGAAGGAGGAAAGCAGGGUUGCGGAUGCUGUGCAGCUACCUUGUAGUCUCCGGAAAGCUCCGAUAAUGCUGGGGACCCUCACUCUCCCGCUGAGGCACUGGAUCUGCACACAAAGUGCAGGGAGUAACGUGAGUAAGUAACUAAAUUAAAUAAGGUCUGAGUGCAGUGACGAGCAGUUAAAAUCAUAUAUAAGAGUAUACAACAGAAUAUCAAGUCAAACACAACAAUUUAAAAGACAGUUACUUCGUAAACACUUCGCUUUCAAUUGGAAUACUUUGAAAUCAUUUACUUAGCAGUUUUCAAUAGAGGCUCAUGAUAAAAGAAGAGUGAAAUCAACAAAAAUAACAUAAAUGGGCCCCUCGGGCAAGGUAUCACUCGUAAAUAUAGCCUCUCGGGCAAGCCUCUCGGGCACUCGUGACUCAACUCUCGUCACACAGUACUCCCACUUAGCACUCAGGCUCAAUAAUAUCUCAUAAUAGUAAUAAUCAUAAUAAUCAUUGCGGCGUGCAGCCCGAUCCAUAGUUUAUAGUCGACUACGCUCACAAGGGGUGUACAUGCUCCGGAGGGGCUCCUACAGCCCAAGCGUCAUAUCGCUGUGGCGCGCAGCGCGAUCCAAUAUAUAUAUAUCAUUGCAGUGUGUAGCCCGAUCUAUAUAAGUAUCGUUGCGGUGUGCAGCCCAUUCCAUAAUAUAUACAUAUAUUAUUGUUGCGGCGUGCAGCCCGAUCCAUAAUAUGUAUAUAAUCCUCACCAUUAGGUCCUCAACCUCUCCCAGUCAUUAACUUCACAGCCCCUCGGGCAUAACAGCGAAAAUCAGGGAAACUCAGCCCAAACAGUUUUCACAUUUCAAGAAGUAGAGUGAUAAAAACCAGGUUUAAACAAUAAAAAGGUAAAACAUGACUGAGGAUAUGCCUUCACACAAAUAGAGUGAGGAAAACAGUAAAAAUGUCCCUAAGGGUCUCAACAAGUCGGCACAAGGCCCCAAACAUAGCAUACAUCCCAUAAUAUAGUAUCAAUCUUUAAAAUACGUGAUAUCAUAAUGUUUCAAAUCAAAUACGCGGCCUAAUAGUCGCUACGGGACGGACCAAGUCACAAUCCCUACCGGUGCACGUCCACACGCUCGUCACCUAGCAUGUGUGUCACCUCAUUUAUCAAAACAAUACGAAAUACUGAGAUUUUAUACCUUCAUUUCAAGAUUUACAAUGGUUACUUACCUCAAACCGGAUAAUAUACUACUCCGCGACACCUUUGCCUCUCGCCUAGGCCUUAACUCGCGCCGAAUCUACCCAAAAUCAGAAUCAUAACAUUAGAAUAUGCUAAGGGAAUGAAUCUCAUGAAAAAAUAAUCAAAUUAUACCAAAAAUCCCGAAAUUGAUCCAAACCCGACCCCCGGACCCACAUCUCAAAAUUCCAUAAAACUCAUAUCAAUAGAAUCCGUAUCCUCCCACGAGUCUAUUCAUACCAAAAGCAUCAAAAUCGGACCUCAAAUGGACCCUCAAAUCCCUACUCAAAGCUCUCCAAUAUCAAGCCCUAAUCCCUCAAUUUUCUUCCUUAAUUUCCACUAAUACCAUGAUUAAACAAUGAAAAAAUGAUCAUAAACUCAAGUAAUAAAGCUUAGGUAGCUUAUCCAACUGAUAUCCUUCGAUUUACCCUUGAAAUUCACUGCCCUAGCCCACUUCCCGUCUUCAAAAAUGGAGAACUUAGCUAAAAUUCGCGAAGGAAACCUUAUAUACUUUCUGACCUAGGUAUUUUGCACCUGCAGUCCCUUUUUCCACUUCUGCGCUACAGCUUUUGCGAUUUUCACUUAAAUCCCUUGAACCGCACCUGCGACUUUUCUUCUGCAUCUGCGGUCACGCAGAUGCGCCAAGAUAUCCGCUUCUACGACUCCGCCUGACUCACCUC
rnacentral:lncRNA from 1 species